GACUACGGCUAUACCACCCUGAACACGCCUGAUCUCGUCUGAUCUCGGAAGCUAAGCAGGGUCCGGCCUGGUUAGUACUUGGGUGGGAGACUGCCUGGGAAUACCCGGCGCUGUAGGCU
rnacentral:rRNA from 1 species